ensembl:ncRNA C56E6.10 ncRNA
CAGAAGUAUCCAAUUUCUUUAGGUUUAGACUCAUAGAUAUUAAUAAUAAUCUUCCGAGUAGUACUACCGGAAGUGAGACAAGGUUAUUCACGUUUCGACAAGCGAAGGAGAUUUCAUUGCUUUUCACAUCAUAAAAUAACCAUGAUCGC